AAAACAACAAUAUGGGCUGGGCCUCCGGUUAGUAGGUUAGUCCCAAAAAUGAUACAAAUGUGUAAAAUAAAGCCCAUAAACAUCCAAAAAGGGUAAUAUAAUAGCAUGGAACAAUAAAAAAUUAUAGAUACGUUGGAGACGUACCAAGCAUCCCCAAGCUUAAUUCCUGCUCGUCCUCGAGUAGGUAAAUGAUAAAAAUAGAAUUUUUGAUGUGGAAUGCUACCUAGCAUAAUUCUCAAUGUAAUUUUCUUUAUUGUGGCAUGAAUGUUCAGAUCCAAGUGAUACAAAAUAAAAGUUCAUAUUAACAUGAAAAUGGUGAUACUUCAAGCAUACUAAUCAAAGUAAUCAUGUCUUCUCAAAAUAACAUGGCCAAAGAAAGUUAUCCCUACAAAAUCAUAUAGUCUGGCUGUUGCUCUAUCUUCAUCACACAAAGUAUUUAAUCAUGCACAACCCCGAUGACAAGCCAAGCAAUUGUUUCAUACUUUAGUAAUCUCAAACUUUUUUCAAACUUCACGCAAUACAUGAGCGUGAGCCAUGGACAUAGCACUAUAUGUGGAAGAGAAUGGUGGUUGUGGAGAAUACAAAAAGGACAAGAUAGUCUCACAUCAACUAGGCGUGUCAAUGGGCUAUGGAGAUGCCCAUUAACAGAUAUCAAUGUGAGUGAGUAGGGAUUGCCAUGCAACAGAUGCACUAGAGCUAUAAAUAUAUGAAAGCUCAAUAAAAGAAACUAAGUGGGGGUGCAUCCAACUUGCUUGCUCACGAAGACCUAGGGCACUUUUGAGGAAGCCCAUCAUUGGAAUAUACAAGCCGAGUUCUAUAAUGAAAAAUUCCCACUAGUAUAUGAAAGUGACAACAUAUGAGACUCUCUAUCAUGAAGAUCAUGGUGCUACUUUGAAGCACAAGUGUGGAAAAAAAGAUAGUAGCAUUGUCCCUUCUCUCUUUUUCUCUUAUUUUAUUUUUUUCUUCUUUCUUUUUUUCUCUCUUUUUUCUUUUUUUCUUUGGCCUUCUCUUUUUUUCUUUUUUUGGCCUUUCUCUUUUUUCCCCCUUUUUUCUUUUUGUAAAGUCCGAAGUCUCAUCCCGACUUGUGGGGGAAUCAUAGUCUUCAUCAUCCUUUCCUCACUAGGACAAUGCUCUAAUAAUGAAGAUCAUCACACUUUUAUGGAUUUACAACUCAAAGCUAGAACAAGAUAUGACUCUAUAUGAAUGCCUCCGGCGGUGUACCGGGAUAUGCAAUGAAUCAAGAGCGACAUGUAUGAAAAUUAUGAAGGUGGCCUUGCCACAAAUACAAUGUCAACUACAUGAUCAUGCAAAGAGCAAUAUGAAAAAAGUAAUGCGUGCCAUAUGAACGGAAUGGUGGAAAGUUGCAUGGCGAUAUAUCUUGGAAUGGGUAUGGAAAUGCCAUGAUAGGUAGGUAUGGUGGCUGUUUUGAGGAAGGUAUAUGGUGGGUGUAUGGUACCGGCGAAAGUUGCAUGGCACAAGAGAGGCUAGCAAUGGUGGAAGGGUGAAAGGGGUGCGUAUAAUCCAUGGACUCAACAUUAGUCAAAAGAACUCAUGUACUUAUUGCAAAAAUUUAGAAGUCAUCAAAAACCAAAGUAUUACGCGCAUGCUCCUAGGGGGAUAGAUUGGUAGGAAAAGACCAUCGCUCGUCCCCGACCGCCACUCAUAAGGAAGACAAUCAAUAAAUAAAAUUAUGCUCCAACUUCAUCACAAAGCGGUUCACCAUACGUGCAUGCUACGGGAAUCACAAACCUCAACACAUGUAUUUUUCAUAAUCACCUAAACUAGCAUGACUUUAAUAUCACUACCUCCAUAUCUCAAAACAAUUAUCAAGCAUCAAAUUGAUCAUAGCAUCCAAUUCCUUUCUAUGAUAGUUUUUAUUAUACCCAACUUGGAUGCUCAUCAUUCUAGGACCAACUUUAUAACCAUAGCAAAUACCAUGCUGUUCUAAAAGACUCUCAAAAAGAAAUAAGUGAAGCAUGAGAGACUAGCAAUUUCUACAAAAUAUAACCACCGCCGUGCUCUAAAAGAUAUAAGUGAUGCACUAGAGCAAAUGACAAACUACUCCGAAAGAUAUGAGUGAAGAUCAAUGAGUAGUCGAAUAGUUGUGCAACUAUGUGAAGACUCUCUAACAUUAAGAAUUUCAGAUCUUGGUAUUGUAUUCAAAUAGCAAGCAAAGCAAAACAAAAUUAAAUUGCAAGGAUAGCACAACUCAUGUGAAGAAGCAAAAACUUAGGCUCAACCAAUACUAACUGAUAGUUGUUGAAGAAGAAAGGUGGGAUGCCCAGCGAGGCAUCCCCAAGCUUAGAUGCUUGAGACUUCUUGAAAUAUUAUCUUGGGGUGCCUUGGGCAUUCCCAAUCUUGAACUUUUGUGUCUCCUUAAUUCCUCUUGUAUCUUGAUUUCUCUUUUUAUCAAAAACUUCGUCCACGCCAAACUCAACAAGAACUCGUGAGAUAGGUUAGUAUAAACCAAUGCAAAACCUUAUCAUUUUCUAUUGUAAAAAAUCACUAAAAUUAUUAUUCAACAUUUAAUACUAAAUGCCUCUGCAUAUUUAAUACUCCUAUCCUCAAAUAGAAUCAUUAAACAAGCAAACAUAUGCAAACAUAACAGCAAUCUGUGAAAACAGUACAGUCUGUAAAGAAUACAAGAUUCAUCAUACUUCCCUAACUCCAAAAAUUAUUAAAUAAAAUUCCCACUGUAGUAAAUUCAUCAGACCUCAUUAUGCAAAAGGUUUCAACAUUAUAUAAUUCUCUGACUUUUCUAGGGAAUUUUUGCAACAUCGAUAAACUUUCUGUUUUCAAACAGCAACAUGUAUACUAGCAAAAUAAGCAUGGCAAAGGCUAUCCUUGACUUUUUAUUGAAACUAAAGAUGCAAAAUACUAUUCUAAAUAACAGCAAGCAAAAACUAAUAAAAUAAAAUGACUCUCCAAGCAAAACACAUAUCAUGUGGUGAAUAAAAAUAUAGCUCCAAAUAAAGUUACCGAUGAACGAAGACGAAAGAGGGGAUGCCUUCCGGGGCAUCCCAAGCUUAGGCUCUUGGUUGUCCUUGAAUAUUACUUUGGGGUGCCUUGGGCAUCCCCAAUCUUAGGCUCUUGCCACUACUUAUUCCAUAGUCCAUCGAAUCUUUACCCAAAACUUGAAAACUCCACAACACAAAACUCAACAGAAAACUCGUAAGCUCCGUUAGUAUAAGAAAAUAAAACCACCACUUAGGUACUGUAAUGAACUAAUUCUAAAUUCAUAUUGGUGUAAAAUCUACUGUAUUCUAACUUCUCUAUGGUUCAUACACUCAAUACUAGCCAUAGAUUCAUUAAAAUAAGCAAACAACACAUAGAAAAUAGAAUCUGUCAAAAACAGAACAGUCUGUAGUAAUCUGUAUCAAAUGUAUACUUCUGGAACUCCAAAAAUCCUAUGAAAUUAGAAAGUCCUAAGCAAUUUGCGUACAAAUCCAUAGAAAAAAGAAUCAGAUCAAAAGCACGUUUCUGUGAAUUAACAAAACUAAUUUACUGGGUGCAAAAGUUUCCGAUUCUCAGCAGGACCAACACAACUAUCACCGUAAGCUAUCCUAAAGGUCUUACUUGGCACUUUAUCAAAAAAACUAUAAAACAUUAUUACUACAGUAGCAUAAUCAUGUGAACACACAAAAACAGUAGGGAUAAAUAUUGGGUUGUCUCCCAACAAGCACUUUUCUUUAAUGCCUUUCUAGCUAGGCAUGAUGAUGACAAUGAUGCUCACAUAAAAGAGAAGAAUUGAAACACAAUGGGAGCAUCAUGAAGCAUAUGACUAGCACAUUUAAGCCUAACCCACUUCCUAUGCAUAGGGAUUUUUUGAGCAAACAACUUAUGGGAACAAUAAUCAACAAGCAUAGGAAGGUAAAACAAGCAUAGCUUCAAGAUUUCAAGCACGUAGGGAGGAAACUUGACAUUAUUGCAAUUCCUACAAGCAUAUAUUCCUCCCUCACAAUAAUUUUCAGUAGCAUCAUGAAUGAAUUAAACAAUAUAACCAGCACCUAAAUCAUUCUUUUCAUGAUCUACAAGCAUAGAAAAUUUACUACUCUCCAUAUAAGCAAAUUUCUUCUCAUGAAUAGUUAUGGGAGCAAACUCAACAAAAUAAUUAUCAUGUGAGGCAUAAUCCAAUUGAAAACUAAAAUCAUGAUGACAAGUUUCAUGGUUAUCAUUAUUCUUAAUAGCAUACAAGUCAUCACAAUAAUCAUCAUAUAUUGCAACUUUGUUCUCAUAAUCAAUUGGAACCUCUUCCGAAAUAGUGGAAUCAUCACUAAAUAAAGUUGACACUCUUCCAAAUCCACUUUCAUAUUCAACACAAUAAGAUUCAACAUCCUACAAAAUAGUGGGAUAACUACUUCCUAAAGUUGACACUCUUCCAAACCCAUUUUCAUCAAUAUAAUCAUCAUAAAUAGGAGGCAUGCUUUCAUCAUAAUAAAAUUUCUCAUCAAAACUUGGGGGACUAAAAAUAUCAUAAUCAUCAAACAUAGCUUCCCCAAGCUUGUGGCUUUUCAUAUCAUUAGCAUCAUGGAUAUUCAAGGAAUUCAUACUAACAAUAUUGCAAUCAUGCUCAUCAUUCAAAGAUUUAGUACCAAGUAUUUUAAUGCAUUCUUCUUCUAGCACUUGAGCAUAAUUUUCCUUUCCAUCAUACUCACGAAAGAUAUUAAAAAGACGAAGCGUUUGAGACAAACUUAACUCCAUUUUUUGUAGUUUUCUUUUAUAAACUAAACUAGUGAUAAAACAAGAAACAAAAAGAUUCGAUUGCAAGAUCUAAAGAUAUACCUUCAAGAACUCACCUCCCCGGCAACGACGCCAGGAAAGAGCUUGAUGUCUACUACACAACCUUCUUCUUGUAGACGUUGUUGGGCCUGGAAGUGCACAUGUUUGUAGGACAGUAGAAAAUUUCCCUCAAGUGGAUGACCUAAGGUUUAUCAAUCCGUAGGAGGCGUAGGAUGAAUAUGGUCUCUCUCAAGCAACCCUGCAACCAAAUAACAAAGAGUCUCUUGUGUCCCCAACACACCCAAUACAAUGGUAAAUUGUAUAGGUGCACUAGUUCGGCGAAGAGAUGGUGAUACAAGUGCAAUAUGGAUGGUAGAUAUAGGUUUUUGUAAUCUGAAAAUAUAAAAACAGCAAGGUAACUAAUGAUAAAAGUGAGCAUAAACGGUAUUGCAAUGAUAGGAAACAAGGCCUAGGGUUCAUACUUUCACUAGUGCAAGUUCUCUCAACAAUAAUAACAUAGAUAGAUCAUAUAACAAUCCCUCAACAUGCAACAAAGAGUCACCCCAAAGCCACUAAUAGCGGAGAACAAACGUACAGAUUAUGGUAGGGUACGAAACCACCUCAAAGCUAUUCUUUCGGAUAAAUCUAUAAAAGGGUUCGUACUAGAAUAACACCUUAAGACACAAAUCAACCAAAACCCUAAUGUCACCUAGAUACUCCAUUGUCACCUCAAGUAUCCGUGGGCAUGAUUAUACGAUAUGCAUCACACAAUCUCAGAUUCAUCCAACCAACACAAAGUACGUCAAAGAGUGCCCCAAAGUUUCUAUCGGAGAGUCAAGAACGUGUGCCAACCCCUAUGCAUAGGUUCAUGGGUGGACCCCGCAAGUUGGUCACCAAAACAUACAUCAAGUGGCACGUGAAAUCCCAUUGUCACCACAGAUAAACACGACAAGACAUACAUCAAGUGUUCUCAAAGUAAAGACUCAAUCCGAUAAGAUAACUUCAAGAGGGAAACUCAAUUCAUCACAAGAGAGUAGAGGGGGAGAAACAUCAUAAGAUCCAACUAUAAUAACAAAGCUCGUGAUACAUCAAGAUCGUGCCAUAGAGAGAACAUGAGAGAGAACACGAGAGAGAGAGAGAGAUCAAACACAUAGCUACUGGUACAUACCCUCAGCCCCGAGGGUGAAAUACUCCCUCCUUGUCAUGGAUAGCGCCGGGAUGAUGAAGAUGGCCACCGAUGAUGGAUUACCCCUCCGGCAGGGUGCCGGAAUGGACUCACGAGAGGUUUUUGGUGGCUAAAGAGGCUUGCGGCGGCGGAACUCCCGAUCUAUCUUGAUAUUCGAUGGUUUUAGGGUACGUAGGGUUAUAUAGGCGAAAGAAGUCGGUCGGGGGGUGCUCGAGGGGUCCACGAGACAGGGGGCCGCGCCCUGUAGGGGGGGGGGCGCCCCCUAUCUCCUGGGCUCCUCGAGGGUCUUCUGACUUGAUCUCCAAGCCUCCAGGAUGAUAUUCUUCCAAAAAAUCACGAUUUCGAAGGUUUUAUUCCGUUUGGACUCCGUUUGAUAUUCCUUUUCUUCGAAUUACUGAAACAGACAAUAAAACAACAAUAUGGGCUGGGCCUCCGGUUAGUAGGUUAGUCCCAAAAAUGAUAUAAAUGUGUAAAAUAAAGCCCAUAAACAUAUAAAAAAAGGUAAUAUAAUAGCAUGGAACAAUCAAAAAUUAUAGAUACGUUGGAGACGUAUCAGAUAUCAACAUAAGCAUGGAUGUGCAACAUCAUCACCCCUUAACAUGUCAACAAUAAUAAACCAUAUACUGAUCGAGCAUGGCAUGCUGACUAGCAUGCCAAUCACAAGCAUGAACUACUCAAAACAUAGCAUUACCACUAGCAUCAACGAUAAAUACCAUGCAAGAACAUACCAAUACAUGCUACCAAGUAAGCAUAUAACUAGCUAGAUGCUAAGGAAGCAUGCAUAUCGACGGUACUCGGUAGUAGACGAUAGUCAUGCACUGGAAAACAUAACCAACACCAACAUGAACUACUACCAAGUAUAUCAUAAGAAAGUAAUACUAGCAAGUAGAACAUGAUAACCAGGUGCAUAUGAACCUAGCAUGAAAGUAAAGACAGAUCCAUAGCAUCACCGAAACAACGAUAGCAGUAGCAAAACAACCAGACAAUUAUUAAAUGUUCACAUUGAAAACCAUGGCUACUGCAUGGCCAUCAUGCAAAUGGGUCUUGUGGCUUGCCUGGGGGUGAAGAAAGCUCCGGGAAGAGGUGCGGAAUGAUCGCA
rnacentral:lncRNA from 1 species